rnacentral:tRNA from 1 species
GCGGCUGUAGCCCAGCUGGAUAGAGUACUUGGCUACGCACCAAGGGGUCGUGGGUUCGAUUCCUGCCAGCCGCACCA